GAUGAACGCUGGCAGCAUGCUUAACACAUCAGCAAUUGAUUGGUGGCGGACGGGUGAGUAACGCGUAAAGAACUUGCCUCACAGGUAGGGACAACAUUUGGAAACGAAUGCUAAUACAUAAUCCUGUGAGAGAGCUUUGCGUCCCAUUAGCUAGUUGGAGAGGUAACGGAUCACCAAGGCGAGGAUGGGUAGCCGGCCUGAGAGGGUGAUCGGCCCAGAGGGGACUGGGACACGGCACUUACGACUACGCGAGGCUGCAGUGGGGAAUAAUGGAGAAUCGACCAAAGUCUGAUCCAGCAAUUCUGUGGGCAAGAUGAAGUUUUCGGAAUGUAGAGUGCUUUCAGGUGAGAAGCGGUACCAACAGAAGAAGUGACGGCUAAAUACGUGCCAGCCGCCGCGGUAAUAC
rnacentral:rRNA from 1 species